rnacentral:rRNA from 1 species
AUGUCGACGCUGAAUAAAUAUUCUUCAGAUCCUUUUCUGACGAGGCCAUCGGUCCUAUGGUUGGGGAUGGAUCUGGAAAUCAGUCUGUUCAAGCAAGGAUGGUGUGGCGGUGGCGGCAUCCUCGUGGUGGACCUGUGUCCUCGGGCUCCGUCGUUGCGACGAUGUUUGCUCCAGCGUCGGCGUGGUCGGCGUGGGGCUUGGGAGGUAGUCCAGGAGCGGAUGCAGAUUGUGGUCUGCAUCGAUGACAUCUGGAAGACGGAACGUGUGCUAGGUUUGUGGUUCGUGGAUGGCAGGUAUGAUUUCCUCCUUUGGCGUCUUAGUCGUGGUGGGGUGCCAGAUCUGGAGUUCGAUGGCGUGUCUGGGGUGUUGUCCCGGUCUGAUUCGUUCAACGACAAUGGCUUCACUUUUGGUGAGCCACCUUGGAGGUCCGCAAAGCUGCAUAUCAGCGAUGGAGCCGCGUCGAGCUCGGGUGAGGAGGUGAUCCGUCAAUUUUUUUCCGAUGGCUGCUGUGGUGGUGGUGCCGGAGGCAGGUGA